rnacentral:rRNA from 1 species
AUUACCGAGUUAGGGUCUUCUAGGCCCGACCUCCCAACCCUUUGUUUACUGAACCAUUGUUGCUUCGGUGGGUCCGUCUAACGACCGCCGGGGGACCGCCGUGAGGCACCCCCUGGCCCGCACCCACCGAUAGCCCAACUCUUAAACCCUUUAUAAAUCGUGUCUUGUGUCUGAAUCCAUGAUAAAAAAUCAAAACAAAACUUUCAACAACGGAUCUCUUGGUUCUGGCAUCGAUGAAGAACGCAGCGAAAUGCGAUAAGUAAUGCGAAUUGCAGAAUUCCAGUGAGUCAUCGAAUCUUUGAACGCACAUUGCGCCCUUUGGUAUUCCGAAGGGCAUGCCUGUUCGAGCGUCAUUAUCACCCCUCAAGCCCCUGUGCUUGGUGUUGGACGGUCGGUCGAGGUCCCCCUCGACCCCUCCUAAAGACAAUGACGGCGGCCUGUGGUUCCCCCGGUACACUGAGCUUUUCACCGAGCACGUACCGGACGAGGGCGCCUAGGACCCGGUCUUCUCCUCUCGCGAGGAACUAUUCAUAAGGUUGACCUCGGAUCAGGUAGGAAUACG